UCCUGGCUCAGGACGAACGCUGGCGGCGUGCUUAACACAUGCAAGUCGAACGGAGAUUCAGCAAUGGAUCUUAGUGGCGAACGGGUGAGUAACGCGUAGGCAAUCUGCCUUCUAGAUGGGGACAACAUCCCGAAAGGGGUGCUAAUACCGAAUGUUGUACCGUUUCCGCAUGGAGAUGAUACUAAAGGUGGCCUCUGAAUAUGCUACCGCUAGAAGAUGAGCCUGCGUCUGAUUAGCUAGUUGGAGGGGUAACGGCCCACCAAGGCUUCGAUCAGUAGCCGGUCUGAGAGGAUGAACGGCCACACUGGGACUGAGACACGGCCCAGACUCCUACGGGAGGCAGCAGUGGGGAAUCUUCCGCAAUGGACGAAAGUCUGACGGAGCAACGCCGCGUGAGUGAAGAAGGUUUUCGGAUCGUAAAGCUCUUUCGUUAGGGACGAACGUGCUCUUUGUGAAUAAUGAGGAGUAAUGACGGUACCUAAAUAAGAAGCCACGGCUAACUACGUGCCAGCAGCCGCGGUAAUACGUAGGUGGCAAGCGUUGUCCGGAAUUAUUGGGCGUAAAGCGCGCGCAGGCGGGAUAUCAAGUCUGUCUUAAAAGUGCGAGGCUCAACCUCGUGAGGGGACAGAAACUGGUAUUCUUGAGUGUCGGAGAGGAAAGUGGAAUU
rnacentral:rRNA from 1 species